rnacentral:lncRNA from 1 species
AUCACUCUCAAAGUUUAUGAUCACUACUGCUAAUGCUUCUAUCCCUAAUCUCUUCUCAAUAAGUACAUCCACUCUAACCACAUCAUUAUCCACUAUAUCAAUCACUGCUACCACUCCUAUAUCAUUUAGUUGUUGUAAUGCCAUACAUAUAUUCAACAAUAUUUGCUCACUGUUCCAUUUGAAGGUGAUCUCCUCUAGGUCCAUAUUAA